rnacentral:lncRNA from 1 species
UCGGGAGAAAGAAAACAUUAAAGGAAACUAUGAAGAUGAUGUUGACAAGAUGAAUCAGCAGCUGUCAAACAAAGCUAGUAUACAGAUGAUGUUAACAGAAAAACAGAAUGAGAUUCAGUCAUUGAAGGACAAAAUUGUCCAGGUGAAAGCAGCCCAACAGGACUUAAAAGAAAACAUGAUUCAGAAGAGUAAAACAUUUGCUGAAAGCAAACAUGCUGUGGAAAUAGAGGUAGUCUGGGCUUGUUGUUUUUUGUUUUUUUUCAAACUAGGAUAUAUUUUCACUCAAAAGCUGUGAUUCAGUUCAUAUUUUCCCUCUUUAGAUAGAGGAAAUUGCUCUUAAGAUUAAAGAACAAAGAAAAAUCAAUUCAGGAACACGCAAGGAGCUGGAUAUCAUUACAUCAGAACUCCAAGACAAGGAGGAGACAAUCACACAGUGUGAAGAAGUAAGCAUCUACAUACUUUGUACAGUGUCUAAACCAUAUAACAAUAAUGUUGGCAUAGAACGAUUGGUAUGGCUUGCUUUAUUCAUCUGGUUUCAGCAUAUAUCCCAGAUGGAGAAAAACAUCGCAAGAAUGGCAGCAUCUAAAAUUAUGUACAAAGAAUGGCUUCAUGAGGAGAAAAGUCAGAAUGAGGACCUUGAACAUCAAAGUAAUCAGUGAUUGGUUUUAACAUCAAGCAGUUCUGUUUCCUUCACCUCUGGUCAACAGAAAUCAGCUUUUGUUAUUUAUAAUCAACAGGGAGUCUCAUGAGCGUGAACUUCUUGAACUGGCUGAAGCAACUGAACAGAAAAUUCAGGUCCUUCAGGAGCAGAUGGUGGAGAUUGAAAAUGAGAUAAAGGAAGAACAGAAAGUGAAAAGUGCUCUAUCAGAGCCCCUCGCUAAACUGUCAGACAUCUUCAGCACUCAGAGGAAAGAGGAAGAUGACAUGAUUGCUGAACAUCACAGUCUGUUCAAACGGUUAGAGGAGAAUAAACUGAGACGUGAUGAAGAUGUGAUAUCAAUUGCCAAAUGUAGAUUUGAAAUCAAAAACAUGAUAGAAGAGAUGAGACAGCUUCACGACGCUAACAUAAUCAAUGCAGAUAUGUUCAAAAAAACUCUGGAGGAACUGGAAGGUCAGUUGGCCAAAUACAACAUGAGCAGGACAGCAGUUGAAGCUGAGAGAGAGAAAAUAAGUCAAUCUCGCAAAACCCUUAAAGAGGAACAACGAGGAGUAUGUAAAGGAGAUCAAUGCAGCCAUCGAACAGACACAGAAGAGACAUGGAGAGCUGCUUGA